rnacentral:rRNA from 1 species
UACGUAGGGUGCAAGCGUUGUCCGGAAUUAUUGGGCGUAAAGAGCGUGUAGGCGGCCCGAUUAGUCCGCUGUGAAAGUCCAGGGCUCAACCCUGGAAUGCCGGUGGAUACUGUCGGGCUAGAGUCCGGAAGGGGCGAGUGGAAUUCCUGGUGUAGCGGUGAAAUGCGCAGAUAUCAGGAGGAACACCAAUGGCGAAGGCAGCUCGCUGGGACGUGACUGACGCUGAGACGCGAAAGCGCGGGGAGCGAACGGG